rnacentral:rRNA from 1 species
UGAGGAAUAUUGGUCAAUGGGCGAGAGCCUGAACCAGCCAAGUCGCGUGAGGGAAUAAGGCCCUACGGGUCGUAAACCUCUUUUGCCGGGGAGCAAGUCGGGGCUCGUGAGCCCUGAUGGAGAGUACCCGGAGAAAAAGCAUCGGCUAACUCCGUGCCAGCAGCCGCGGUAAUACGGAGGAUGCGAGCGUUAUCCAGAUUUAUUGGGUUUAAAGGGUGCGUAGGCGGGCUGGCAAGUCGGCGGUCAAAUGUCGGGGCUCAACCCCGGCCUGCCGUCGAAACUGCCGGUCUUGAGUGAGCGAGAAGCAGGCGGAAUGCGUGGUGUAGCGGUGAAAUGCAUAGAUAUCACGCAGAACCCCGAUUGCGAAGGCAGCCUGCCGGCGCUCAACUGACGCUGAGGCACGAAAGUGCGGGGAUCGAACAGGAUUAGAUAGCC